UAGAGUCCUCGGGGCAGGGUGAAAGUCCCGACCGGCGGUGAAAGCCCGCGAGCCCGUUAAGGGUUGAUCCGGUGAAAUUCCGGAGCCGACGGUUAAAGUCCGGAUGGGAGAGGACAAUG
rnacentral:ncRNA from 2 species